AACGAACGCUGGCGGCGCGUCUUAAGCAUGCAAGUCGGACGGCAAGGGUAGCAAUACCCCUAGAGUGGCGGACUGGUGAGUAACACGUGGGUGACCUACCCUUGAGUUGGGGAUAGCCAUUAGAAAUAGUGGAUAAUACCGAAUACGAUCGCGACACUUUGGUGAUGCGAUGAAAGGAGCUACGGCUCCACUCGAGGAUGGGCCCGCGUCCCAUUAGCUAGUUGGUGAGGUAACGGCCCACCAAGGCGACGAUGGGUAUCCGGCCUGAGAGGGUGUACGGACACAUUGGGACUGAGAUACGGCCCAAACUCCUACGGGAGGCAGCAGCUAAGAAUAUUCCGCAAUGGACGAAAGUCUGACGGAGCGACGCCGCGUGGAUGAAGAAGGCCGAAAGGUUGUAAAAUCCUUUUGCUGAUGAAGAAUAAGUGGAGUAGGGAAUGAUUCCAUGAUGACAUUAGUCGGUGAAUAAGCCCCGGCUAACUACGUGCCAGCAGCCGCGGUAACACGUAGGGGGCAAGCGUUGUUCGGAAUUAUUGGGCGUAAAGGGCAUGUAGGCGGUUUUGUAAGCCUGGUGUGAAAUCCUGCAGCUUAACUGUAGAAUUGCAUUGGGUACUGCAAGACUUGAAUCACAGAGGGGAAACUAGAAUUCCAGGUGUAGGGGUGGAAUCUGUAGAUAUCUGGAAGAAUACCGGUGGCGAAGGCGGGUUUCUAGCUGAUGAUUGACGCUGAGGUGCGAAAGUGCGGGGAGCAAACAGGAUUAGAUACCCUGGUAGUCCGCACCGUAAACGAUGUACACUAGGUAUCGGGGCAUGAGUCUCGGUGCCAAAGCUAACGUGUUAAGUGUACCGCCUGGGAAGUAUGCUCGCAAGGGUG
rnacentral:rRNA from 1 species